UUCUUCUCAGGAUCACACCUGGAGAGUUUCCAGUACUCUACCAGUCUCGGAUAUGGGACUGAGAGUCAAGCAGAGGCAUACUCGUUUCAUUCCUAGCUUGGACAGUGACUAGCAAGUGGAAGGCAAUCUGCUACAAGU
rnacentral:snoRNA from 1 species